rnacentral:misc_RNA from 1 species
GAAAUGCGAUAUGUAAUGUGAAUUGCAGAAUUCAGUGAAUCAUCGAAUCUUUGAACGCACAUUGCGCUCCUUGGUAUUCCGGGGAGCACACCUGUUUGAGUAUCAAUAGUCUCUCACCUCCCCUAUGUUUGAACAUUGGGGAAUUGGUGGAUUUGGAUGUUCUGUUUGUAUUUUAUACGAACAGUCAUCUUAAUUUAAAUGUCAGAAGCCUCUUUUAAAGAGAGUUUGCUUGUUUGAAUUGAAACAAUGAGCCUUGUGCACUUGAGUCUUUAAACAGCACUUUUUUUGAAUUAGUGUCUUUUGAUCCCUUUAUUAUACAUUCAGUCAGAACUUGUCUCUGAUUGUUUGAACACUUGGUCUCAAAUCAGGUGGGAAAACCCGCUGAACUUAA